CCAACCGCGACGGCCACCACCCCCACUGCCUCAUGGGAGAUGUAGUUUCCUGUUAGGCCUUCCCUUGCGUCCUUCCAGCUCCAAUGCAAGGUUGCAGGGAAAGUUUUCAAAUGACUGAAGAUUCUGACAGACUUCUCUGAACUAUUGGGGUCCAAAGAAAGUAAUUGAAAACAACGGCUGUUGAGACAUUUCAUUCCGAAUCUGCUAGACAGAGCCAGACAGGCGAUGAAGACAGCCGUUCUCAGAAGUGUCUGGAUUUGUGGCCAUGGUAUAGUCCAUUGGGCCCGCGUAUGGUCGGUUACCUGUGGCCUUACCCCUAACCUUGGAUUGCCACCUGGAGUGCAAGUUUCCUGGUUUUCGAGACGAGACAUGCGUUGGGAAGAGCUUAUGCCAUUGCGGAGAGGGAGAGUUGCCGCAUUUGGCCCUCCUGACAUCCUUAUCCUUCAAAUGGCCUUGUUAGCAGAAGAAGUGUGGACUUGUCGUGGCACAUAAAAAGAGAUUUGGAUGAGAUUGCUGCCUUGUGUCCCGGAACAACGGUGUUCUGGUCCUUCUUCCUGAAGAGAAUUGUGUGGCGCGGUGCGCAGAACUGUAUGGCCAUUGAAAAAUCCAGGAAACUCUUAAAUCGUGCAAUAGCCCGUUGGGUGCGCUUUAUGUAUGGCCGAGUCAUCUCUCAUGACUGUAUCCGGAUUGGCGACCAAGCCUUGUACCAGAAUGAUGGGGUUCAUCUUUCAGACCAAGGGAAUGACAUUUGGUUAACUAGCAUCAUCAGCAGCAUCAGGGAUUGGUUACAGCUGUGAGGGUAUUGGCGGCGAGCCCCUUUUGGGCUCGGGUGGCGGUUAGGCAUUGGAAUAAUGUGUUGUGGUG